UACGGAGGGGGCUAGCGUUGUUCGGAAUUACUGGACGUAAAGCGCACGUAGGCGGCUUUGCAAGUCAGAGGUGAAAGCCCGGGGCUCAACCCCGGAAUUGCCUUUGAGACUGCAUCGCUAGAAUUGUGGAGAGGUAAGUGGAAUUCCGAGUGUAGAGGUGAAAUUCGUAGAUAUUCGGAAGAACACCAGUGGCGAAGGCGACUUACUGGACACAUAUUGACGCUGAGGUGCGAAAGCGUGGGGAGCAAACAGG
rnacentral:rRNA from 1 species